AAGUGUACGAUGCGGAUACUUUUGUUGUUUGCCAUAAUUGGCCUUUCGGCCGUGGAAUUUGGAAAAUGUGAUUAUUCGAAUUCAGAAACGGUAACAGAAACUUACGUGGGUGCAGUGGAAAAAUCAAUUCAAACGCUGAUAAAAUCUGAACAAGCUGUUAAACAAAGAAUUGUAGCAAUUAAAGAUAUAUUGAGAGACCUAACGCCUAACAUUCUACCUAAGAGAAAUACAACUGGAAAGGUGAGAAAAAGAAUUGGUGAUUUCUUGAACCCGUUGAAAUCGAAAAUUAAAGCAAUAUUUCCAGGAACAUAUUGGUGCGGCGAUGGGAACAUAUCUCCCAACGAAAAAGAUCUCGGUCUGUUUGAAACAACGGAUGUUUGUUGCAGACAGCACGAUUCUUGUUCAGAUACUAUCUUAACGGAAGAAAAACGGGAUGGCCUUGUAAACAAUGGUAUAUUCACUAGAUCGUCGUGUGAUUGUGACAGCGAAUUUUAUCGAUGUCUAAAAGAAGCCAGUAAUAUCGUAGCUUUUAACAUUGGGAAAACAUAUUUCAAUAUUUUAAGACCCCAGUGUUUUCAGACGUAUUAUCCUAUUCAAGGCUGCAGAAAAUACACAGGGCGCCGAUUUACACACGACAAAUGUGACCAAUACAUUUACAACGUUACAUUGCCAGAGAUAAUGCAGUGGUUCGAUAAUCCGGAUUUUUAAAAUUUUUCAUCGAUCGAAUAAUCGAACACAUGUACACAGUAAAUCUUAAUUGUACCAUACUAAAAAAUUAUAUAAAAUUUGUUAAAAGAUCGUUGUUCGAUAAUUCUAACUUAACAGACA